GUGCUCGCUUCUGCAGCACUUAUGCUAAAAUUAGAACGAUACAGAGAUUAGCAUGGCCCCUGUGCAAGGAUGACACGCAAAUUCAUGAAGCGUUCCAUAUUUUU
rnacentral:snRNA from 1 species